rnacentral:lncRNA from 1 species
AAGUCAACAUGGGCAAUUGCUUUGGGUCUCCCUCUAGCUCCUCUUUCACCACCACCAAUCCUCUCAUCCCAGGGUCAUCAAAUAACACCACUACCACCAGGAAUUUCUCAGCCUCAAGCAGCAGUGCAGGUAAGAGUCAAUUCUCUGUUGCGAUAAGUGAAGUGAAUAAUAAGCCAAAUCCAAACGGCCAAAUUUUGGAAGCACCAAACUUGAAGGAGUUCACCUUUGCUGAUUUGA